CCCGCCGGGUUUGAGGCCGAGCGGCUCUGGCCGGCAGAUGGCUCCUGUCCUUCUGAGGCCGCAAAGGACUGGGUGGAAGGCGUGGAGAGUGUCAGAGCAUCCCAGGACAUCACCCCUUGGUUUACAGACCCAGAGAAGCUGCCUCAGGCUUGUGGCCAGGCUGAGGAGAGCAGGUCAUGGCCACCUGUGUCUGCACCAACAUCCUGCCUUCCAGAGUCACUGGCAUGUGAGACAACAGAUAUCCACAGAAACCCUCGGAGCAUUUUGAGUAUUUUCCAGCAACGUCGGAACAUGGUGUGAAUCACUGUGCCUGCCUAUAGAUUUUGAUGGAGCUGCCCAGAUCAAGAAAAAGAUUCUAAUUUUGGCCAUUUUCACGGUAGAGAACCUAUAAAAAAUCUAUACGUGUAUUAAUUUUUGUAGCUUCUUUCCUCCUUCAGAAAACUUA